rnacentral:rRNA from 1 species
CCUACGGGUGGCAGCAGUGGGGAAUAUUGGACAAUGGGGGGAACCCUGAUCCAGCCAUGCCGCGUGUGUGAAGAAGGCCCUCGGGUUGUAAAGCACUUUCAGUGAGGAAGAACGCCUGGUGGUUAAUACCCAUCAGGAAAGACAUUACUCACAGAAGACGCACCGGCUAACUCCGUGCCAGCAGCCGCGGUAAUACGGAGGGUGCGAGCGUUAAUCGGAAUUACUGGGCGUAAAGCGCGCGUAGGUGGCUUGAUAAGCCGGUUGUGAAAGCCCCGGGCUCAACCUGGGAACGGCAUCCGGAACUGUCAAGCUAGAGUGCAGGAGAGGAAGGUAGAAUUCCCGGUGUAGCGGUGAAAUGCGUAGAGAUCGGGAGGAAUACCAGUGGCGAAGGCGGCCUUCUGGACUGAAACUGACACUGAGGUGCGAAAGCGUGGGUAGCAAACAGGAUUAGAUACCCUAGUAGUC